rnacentral:rRNA from 1 species
GGAGUUUGGACCGUGUCUCAGUUCCAAUGUGGGGGACCUUCCUCUCAGAACCCCUACUGAUCGUUGACUAGGUGGGCCGUUACCCCGCCUACUAUCUAAUCAGACGCAUCCCCAUCCCUUAGCGAUGAAUCUUUGGUUUGAUUUUGAUGUCAGCAUCAAACAACAUAGGGAAUUAAUCCGACUUUCGCCGGGCUGUGCCCUACUAAGGGGAAGGUUGGAUACGCGUUACUCACCCGUGCGCCGGUCGUCGCCCAGCAAAAGCAAGCUUUCGCUGUCGUUACCCCUCGACUUGCAUGUGUUAAGCCUGUAGCUAGCGUUCAUC